CCGUUGAGCUCCUUGCUCUUGGCAUGCGGGGCGGCGUUGCCCAGGGACUGCAGCGAGCACGCUGAGCGCUGGUAGUCGCCCUCCAGGUCUCUGUCACCCCAGCAGAGUCUAGCCUGGAGAAAAAACAGGAUGUCCGGAAGAGACAGGAGGGAGAAGCAAGUUGAGCAGAGAACCUUCUGUGUGAAGGGUCCUCUCCCUCCCCUCCCACCUCAUGAAGACCACAGCAGCCUGACCUAGAAACUUCUUCAAAAUUUUUAACCUCCAGAGCCAGCGGAACAGAGCCUCCUCCAUGGCCCAUGGUGCAGGUACCACCACCUCCGGUCUGAGUCUUUGCUCAGCCAAGUCUGGAAGCCGGCAGCCAGCGGCCCUCAUGGGCCCCCAAAUGGAGCAGGAUUGUUUCAAUUUCCCUGACCAGUCUGGGUGGUGCUGUGACCAUUUGGCCCAGGUCCCCUCCCCUUCAUUUUUUUCAUCAGACUUAAUUUUUUCCCACCCUUUUCUUGACAGUCUGUUUCCUUUGAUUUCUCCAAAAGAAGAAAGAAAUUGGAUAACUGCUGGACUUUUCUACCAAGAGAUGGGAAAGGGCUUUCUAAAAGAGAAAAAUUUUCCCUAGCAGAAAAGAAAGUCAACAAAGCAAUCUGAACAGUAUUAUUCUCUGGGUUGAAAACAGGGUACCCCUGUUUCCUGAAGUUCUCCAAGACAGAAAAAAAAAAUCAUCAUUUUAAUGCAGCCUUUUAAAAGUGUGCCAGAAAAAUAAAGGUUCAAGCUGUCUUAGGA